GGGCACUUAGCUCAGCGGUAGAGCGCUGCACUCACAUUGCAGAGGCCACAGGUCCGAUCCCUGUAGUGCCCA
rnacentral:tRNA from 1 species